rnacentral:rRNA from 1 species
UACGUAGGGGGCAAGCGUUGUCCGGAAUUAUUGGGCGUAAAGAGCUCGUAGGCGGUCUGUCGCGUCUGCUGUGAAAACUCAGGGCUUAACCCUGAGCUUGCGGUCGAUACGGGCAUGACUGGAGUUCGGUAGGGGAGACUGGAAUUCCUGGUGUAGCGGUGAAAUGCGCAGAUAUCAGGAGGAACACCGGUGGCGAAGGCGGGUCUCUGGGCCGAUACUGACGCUGAGGAGCGAAAGCGUGGGGAGCGAACAGG